rnacentral:rRNA from 1 species
GUGGGGAAUAUUGGGCAAUGGGCGAAAGCCUGACCCAGCAACGCCGCGUGAAGGAAGAAGGUUUUCGGAUCGUAAACUUCUAUCCUUGGUGAAGAUAAUGACGGUAGCCAAGAAGGAAGCCCCGGCUAACUACGUGCCAGCAGCCGCGGUAAUACGUAGGGGGCAAGCGUUGUCCGGAAUGAUUGGGCGUAAAGGGCGCGUAGGCGGCCCGGUAAGUCUGAAGUGAAAGUCCUGCUUUUAAGGUGGGAAUUGCUUUGGAUACUGUCGGGCUUGAGUGCAGGAGAGGUAAGCGGAAUUCCCGGUGUAGCGGUGAAAUGCGUAGAGAUCGGGAGGAACACCAGUGGCGAAGGCGGCUUACUGGACUGUAACUGACGCUGAGGCGCGAAAGUGUGGGGAGCAAACAGGAUUAGAAACCCGAGUAGUCC